UUCAUCUUGUAUAUAUCCCACCCCAGACUGGGAUUCAGCCAUUUCUCUUAGGAUUCCUGAUUCCUUUAAUGGGAAAUGUUAUUUAGAGACCACAUCCUGAGCACUGGUCUGUCAGGAUAUAACUUCAACUCCAAAACCUGACCCUUUCUCACUGCCUAACUACCACCAUCAUGACCCAGGGACAUCACCUCCUGCUAAGAUUACCACAGUGGCCUCCUCACCAUUGUCUGUAUCUCCCCUGCUCUGGGCCCUGUGGUUUGUUCUCAGUACAGCAGCCAUCAGGCCCAGAAGAGCAAGGAUCUUCUCACCAUGACUAGAGCAUUGCUUCUUCCUCUGCCAUGUGUCGAUGGCCCUGAAAGUAAGAGAUGAUGAGGGUCGUAUGGUACUUCCUUCCAUCAGGUAGACACCUGACAGAUAUAAUCAGCGCUUGUGGUUUAUAUGAUGUUUAUUAUGUUAAUAUAAGCUUUGUAUAUGUCAAUUAAGUCCUUUAAUCCCUACAACAACACAGUGAGGAUGGUUUCACAAUUUUCCUGAUGUUAGAGAUGAAGCCAUUGAGACACAGAUGGGUUUGAAAAUUGCUUGCAACCAGGUAGUUCACAAGUGGUAGAGUUGGGACCAGGAUCCAGGGAGCUUGGCUCUAGAGUCCAGGCUUUAAGCCAGUGCUAUCCAAUAGAACUUUCAGUGAUGAAGGAAAUGUUCUGUAUCUAUGCUGUCCAAUAUGGUCACCUCUAGCCACAAAUAGCUACUGAGGAUUUGACAUGUGGCUAGUUCAACUGAGGACUUUUUUUUUU